rnacentral:rRNA from 1 species
CCCUAACCGUGCAAAGGUAGCAUAAUCAUUUGCCUUUUAAUUGGAGGCUUGUAUGAAUGGUUUGACGAGGGCUAAGCUGUCUCUUUUAAAAUAUUUAGAAAUUAACUUUUAGGUGAAGAGGCCUAAAUUUGGCUGAGGGACAAGAAGACCCUGUUGAGCUUUAGUUUUAUGCUAAAUGGAUUAUUAUGAUAUUUGUAAUAAGCGUGGACCUAGGUGUAAUGGGAUUUUAGUAUGAAUCUUUAGUUGGGGCGACUGAGGAACAGCUAGAGCUUCCUUUGGUUUAGAAGGGCAAGUAGUGUGCCGGAAAAUGGUGUAUUCUUGCAGGUUGUUUUGAUCCAGUAGAAUACUGAUUAAAGGAAAAAGUUACCACAGGGAUAACAGCGUAAUCUUUCUGGAGAGAUCUUAUCGAAAGGAGGGUUUGCGACCUCGAUGUUGGACUAA